rnacentral:rRNA from 1 species
CCUACGGGAGGCAGCAGUGAGGAAUAUUGGGCAAUGGGCGAAAGCCUGACCCAGCAACGCCGCGUGGAGGAAGACGGCCUUCGGGUUGUAAACUCCUUUUACGGGGGAAGAGGAAGGACGGUACCCCGAGAAUAAGUCACGGCUAACUACGUGCCAGCAGCCGCGGUAAUACGUAGGUGACAAGCGUUAUCCGGAAUUACUGGGCGUAAAGCGCACGCAGGCGGCGCAUUAAGUCUGACGUGAAAUCUCUCGGCUUAACCGGGAGGGGUCGUUGGAGACUGAUGUGCUUGAGGCGAUGAGAGGGGUGUAGAAUUCCCGGUGUAGUGGUGGAAUGCGUAGAUAUCGGGAGGAAUACCAGUGGCGAAAGCGGCACCCUGGCAUUGGCCUGACGCUCAUGUGCGAAGGCGUGGGGAGCGAACGGGAUUAGAUACCCCGGUAGUCCACGCGGUAAACGAUGAGUACUAGGUGUGGGUGGAGUGAAAUCCAUCUGUGCCGAAGCAAACGCGCUAAGUACUCCGCCUGGGGAGUACGGCCGCAAGGCUAAAACUCAAAGGAAUUGACGG